UGGUGGAUAGGUUGAUGGUGGAGUUGUGCCACCAGACAAAGCCUCCCUGCAUCUUACAGCCAUAGAGGAUUCAGCGUACAAAGAAGACAAAAUAAAAUCUUAUGCUGGAAACAAACAGUUCUAUACUUAAAAGAUGUGUUAAUCAUAUGUGAGGAUGAGACAAUCACUGGAACCAUGUCGUUUCUCCUAACAAGAAGAAUUCUCAAGACAUUGACAUAAAAUAGUAUGUUAUUCUUUACAAAACUGAAACAGGGCAUUGCUUAUAUUCUUUAGUACUAUUUUAUUGUUAUUGAUUAUAUUUAGGAAAAGGGUGUUUCUUGUUAUAAAAUCAGGGUAUUGGUGUGUUUGUUUGUGGUUUCUUUUGAUCUAGCAAAUUCGGAGCUUUGUUUGCAUCCAUACCAGUCCCGAUAUACGCAGCAUUGGACUCUGUUUUAUUCGACCUUGUUGAGAUUAGAGCUACAGAAAGACAGGCAACGAUAUAUGAUGCAUCACCUUAACAGAAAUAUGAAAAAUGGGGAACCCGAUUUGUUGAAACCAUCAAAAAGAGCACCAAGAUCACCCCCAGAUGUUUGCCCAUCCAACCUAAGGUAUUUGUACCUUUC